UUCUGGUCUCCCAGACAACCCCUCUCAGGUUCUGGUGGCUUGUCUCCCCUCUCUAGCUCAGAGACCCAGGAAAGGGAGAGAGAGGUCACGUGAAUGAACGCGUGUGGCUCAGUCCCCAUGGCCAUGAACUUUCAGGAAAAUGUAACCCUGGCCAUGGCCGUAUUCACCAUCCUCGCCUCCAUCUACUUCUUCAACAAGGCUCAGCAAUGAGAAGACACAGGAUUCCCCAAUCCCAGAGCCCGGCCUUCGCCCCGGACCGUGACUCCGGCCUCUGAGACCAAAUAAAUGUGACCGAUCAGCA